UACGUAGGGAGCAAGCGUUGUCCGGAAUCAUUGGGCGUAAAGCGCGCGUAGGUGGCCACAUAAGUCCGUUGUGAAAGUCAAAGGCUCAACCUUUGAAAGCCGAUGGAUACUGUGUGGCUAGAGUACGGAAGAGGCGAGUGGAAUUCCUGGUGUAGCGGUGUAAUGCGCAGAUAUCAGGAGUAACACCAAUAGCGAAGGCAGCUCGCUGGGACGUUACUGACACUGAGGCGCGAAAGCGUGGGGAGCGAACAGG
rnacentral:rRNA from 1 species